CAGCCGUAAACUAUGCGCGUUAGGUGUACUGGUGACCACGAGUCACCGGGGUGCCGAAGGGAAACCGUGAAACGUGCCGCCUGGGAAGUACGGUCGCAAGGCUGAAACUUAAAGGAAUUGGCGGGGGAGCACCACAACGGGUGGGAGCCUGCGGGUUUAAUUUGGACUCAACGCCGGAAAUACUCACCGGAUAGGACAGACAUAUGAUAGUCGGGCUGAAGACUCUACUUGAUGAUCUGAGAGGAGGUGCAUGGC
rnacentral:rRNA from 1 species